rnacentral:rRNA from 1 species
CCUACGGGAGGCAGCAGUGAGGAAUAUUGGUCAAUGGGCGCGAGCCUGAACCAGCCAAGUCGCGUGAGGGAAGACGGUCCUAUGGAUUGUAAACCUCUUUUGUCGGGGAGCAAAAGACGCCACGCGUGGCGUUCCGAGCGUACCCGAAGAAAAAGCAUCGGCUAACUCCGUGCCAGCAGCCGCGGUAAUACGGAGGAUGCGAGCGUUAUCCGGAUUUAGUGGGUUUAAAGGGUGCGCAGGCGGAAGAGCAAGUCAGCGGUAAAAUUGAGAGGCUCAACCUCUUCGAGCCGUUGAAACUGGUUUUCUUGAGUGAGUGAGAAGUAUGCGGAAUGCGGGGUGUAGCGGUGAAAUGCAUAGAUAUCACGCAGAACUCCGAUUGCGAAGGCAGCAUACCGGCGCUCAACUGACGCUCAUGCACGAAAGUGUGGGUAUCGAACAGGAUUAGAUACCCUUGUAGUC